rnacentral:rRNA from 1 species
UACGUAGGAGGCGAGCGUUGUCCGGAAUUACUGGGCGUAAAGAGCGCGUAGGCGGCGCGGUACGACCGCUGUGAAAGCCCCCAGCUCAACUGGGGAGGGUCAGCGGUAACGGCCGUGCUUUGAGUGCAGGAGAGGGAGGUGGAACUCCGGGAGUAGCGGUGAAAUGCGUAGAGACCCGGAGGAACACCAGUGGCGAAGGCGGCUUCCUGGUCUGCGACUGACGCUGUGGCGCGAAAGCUAGGGGAGCAAACGGG